UACGGGGGGGGCAAGCGUUGUUCGGAAUUACUGGGCGUAAAGCGCACGUAGGCGGAUCUUUAAGUCAGGGGUGAAAUCCCGAGGCUCAACCUCGGAACUGCCUUUGAUACUGGGGAUCUCGAGUCCGGGAGAGGUGAGUGGAACUGCGAGUGUAGAGGUGAAAUUCGUAGAUAUUCGCAAGAACACCAGUGGCGAAGGCGGCGAUCUGGGAAGAUACUGACGCUGAGGUGCGAAAGCGUGGGGAGCAAACAGG
rnacentral:rRNA from 1 species